CCCUCUUCUCCCUCCGUGUGCAUCGACUGUUUCUUCCCCUUCUACUUACCUCUCCUACCAUACCUCCAUCCCCACCGGUUCCGACUAGAGCAAGCACCGCCUCCUCUGUUUUUUGCAUGCUAAAAACCACCUGCCGGUGCUGACUCAGGUGAGCUCGCGGUGAUGGAUUUCUACCCUGCAUUUUAGGUCAGUUUAUCUUGUACAUCUUGAUCUGACGCGUGCAUCUCUAAUCUUCUUGCUGGAACUAUCAAUAAUGUCAACUCCGGCGGCGUGGGAGUUGCUUGAUCGACGUAUGGCUCCACCGGAAGAAGAUGCCGACGAAGAGCUGGAGAUGGAUGCAUCCGAUGGAAAGAAGAAGCCGGACUUGAAGACAAAGAAAUGCAGACUCCGGAGGUCUCCCCGUGCGGUGUCGCGGGCCAAUGAGGCUGGAGCAGAUGCAGGACUGCCUUGCGAGCCCUCCUAGGCGGGGAAGCAAGGAGGCGUCCGGGGGCCAAAAAAACUCACCGGCUUGCAGGGGUCAGACGCGUCGGUAAUCCCUUCCAUUCGCUGCGGGUUCAACACCAAACAGGUGAUGAGCCUGUUGACAUCCUGGUACCCUCAUUUCAAACGUACCGGCUUAGGAGCGCUGCUAACCACGCGAGCAUCUGGUGGCGGAGACAAAAAAAUGCACUGGACUUUACUUAGAUGCAUAGAUCCAAAGCAGAAGACCAUGAGAUUCCCUGAUAAUGAAGUUAGAUCCAUCUCAGUACAUGACAUAGAGCACAUUACAGGCAUCCAGUCUGGACCUAAACCUGUCCCAACACACCUGAGCCCUUCAAACAGGCUGGAUGUGAUGUGGCAAGUGCAAGAUCUGCUUCAACUACCACACACAACAAAAGGCACGAUAACAUUAAUCAACUCCUGGGUGUCAUUGGACGUUUCGAUCCACGAACUACUAAUGAGAAAGAGAUUGAUGUAGCAAAUGUUGCCUACACUCUGCUAGUAUGUGCCACCAUGAUUUGUCCUAGAUACGCGAGUGCAGAUGUGCCCGAUGAGGUCCUCCUAUGUGUGCUGGAUCCCUCUAAAAUCCACACAUACAACUGGGGUCAGUACCUUCUUGAUGGAAUCAUGCUAAGCGCGGACAAGGCCCAAAAACUUGACGAAGAGAGAGUCAAUAUCACCAUCGUGGGAGGGUUCCAGCUUGUCCCCCAAGUGCGUACUAUAUUUGUAUGCAUGCUUGUUGUUGUCCUUUACUCUGUUACCUUUUUCUGAUACUACUCAUUGGACAUUUUGCUAUCUUCUUCUCCACAUGAACAGAUAUUCUUUGUGGAUUGGAUGAAUUUUGGAGAACACAACAUCAUGGACAAUGCCUGGCCACGCAUCUCUGCGUACACAAAUGAAAAGCUAAAACAUAUGUUUGGACUUGCAAGAGAAGCGACGACUCGUUUCAGAACAAAAAGCAUUGCCGCCUAUGCCGCAACAAAGUGCGAACUGCACCCAAUACUCCGUCAGGAGCGUGCAUUUUCAAUUGUUGCAGCGAGAAUGGCUGCUACCCAGUUCAUAAAAUCAUCCGUAGCAUGCAUAAUUCAAGAUGGAGUGCUUCAUUUUGCCAUCAACCACAAGCCACUGGGACAAACUUUGACAAUUGAGCACUACCAGAGAUGUCUCGCACUUGUGCUUCAAAUUUUCGACAAGAUCGAUGAAGGUUCCAAAUCUCUGUACACAGAGUUUUUGACAAUGUUGCUAUCUGCUGAACGAACACAUACAAGCUUCCCCAGAACUGCUCAGAUGGCAAACCAAAUAGCCAACAUUAUUCCUGCUGCAACUACCCAAGUACUAGAGGUGAACACUGAUGGUAGCAAAAGGCAGACAGCUGAAGAAGCUCCAGGAAAAUAGAUAUCCAAUACACAAAAAGAAGCAGAAUGCAUAGCAGCCUGCUCUGCAGCAAUUGAUGUCACCCCUCUGCAAAUGAUUCCUCCUGCACCUUCUGAAGCCAUGAAGGUGAACACGACUGGCACGAAAAGAAUACCAUCGGAAGAAGUUGCAGAAAAACAGAGAUCAAAUGGACAAAAAGAAGCACAAGAAACAACAAACUGCUCUGCAUCAAUUGAUAACACUCUUCUUCAUAUGCGUCUGCCUCCAAAAACAACAAUGGAACUAGAAUGUCCACCUGGAGUUGUCCAACUUUCAGACAAUGAAUCUCCUAUGAUAAGAAAACACCUAAACCAAGUCUGCGUGCACCAGGACUGCCAAAUGCCAUUGGACGGCUCAACUUGCAAGAUUCCAGCUGCAUAAUAAAACCUCGAGGUCUUCAGUUCAUUAGUUCAGGCAACCCAGGAGAUCCAAACGACACAGAUGCUGAAGAUAAUCCAGAUCAACUCGCAUCACCCAAAUGCCCACGUCCACCUUUCCAUAAACAUUCUACUAGCCAUAGGGAUACUAUGACAGGCUCAUCUGGAUGGACAAACAAAUGAUCAAGGACAGAUGUGGCGAGAAAGCUGGACUACAAGAAAGAAAAAACAGUUCAUAUUUCAGUUGUGAUGAAUCAAAAGUCUACUCCGCAAGGCCCAACACUUCUGACUGUAGCAUCUCCAUCUUCCAACUUGAUAUUCCAAGUCAAUAAAACACCAGGAACAUGUCACUAUUUUUUGAAAAACAUAC